CGGGUACCCACACUGCCAUCAGCAGUGUGCAGAAAGGACCAUUCCAGUUCCUCUCUGCAUCUACUGAGUCAGGAGGAGCUGGUCGCAUGGUCUGGGGUGGUAGCCCCAAGGUCACCACCCUCAGUUCUGAAGGAUGCAUCGAGCUCCUUGGAAAUGAUGGAGGUAGAAUGUGAAGACUGUUAGACGUCCCCAGAACCAUUUUGGAAAGAGCACAUGCCUUCGGGACUUGCAGCUGAUGAAGGUCAGAGGGAACAGUCCGAGGACACCAGAGAUCUGUAGCCUCAUCCAGGUCUCUGUGUGAUUCUUUCCACAGCUUUCCUGCGUACCACUGCUCACACCUCAGACUUUAUCUUCUCCCGAUGCAUUCAUCUGGAGUAGUGGCUUCCUGCACUUGGGGCAGUCACGCUUGUCGCGAUUUCCAAGUCAUCGCCAUUUUCACUAAUGUGAGGUGUCUUUGUCUUCAAUGGAUAAGCCAGGAGACAGGCUCGAGGAGAUUUCACGAAAGGACAUAUCCCUGAUGCAUGAAUAGCCACUCUGCAGUGAUCAGCACAUACCAAAGGCUGCUCAUGCCAUAGGACUUAGGGUUUUACUGCUGUGAGAGACACUGUGACCAUGGCCUCUUAUCAAGGACAUUGGACUGGGGCUGGCUUACAGUUCAGAGGGGAUCCAUUAUCAUCAUGGUGGGAAGCACGGUGGCAUGCAGCAGAUGUGGUGCUGAAAAGGAGCUAAGAGUUCCACUGAGACCUCAAGGCCUGCCACCAGUGACCAUUUUCUACAAUAAACCCACACCAACUCCUACAAGGCCACACCUCCUAGUAGCGCCCCUCCCUCUGGACCUAUGGGGGCCAUUUUCUUUCAAACCACCAUGCCAUGUGUACUGGUUAGUUUUGUGUGUCAACUUGACACAAGCUGGAGUUAUCACAGAAAAAUGAGCCUCAGUUGUGGAAAUGCCUUCAUGAGACCCAGCUGUAAGGCAUUUUCUCAAUUAGCGAUCAAGGGGGAAGGGCCCAGCCCAUUGUGGGUGGUGCCAUCCCUGGGCUUGUGGUCUUGGAUUCUAUAAGAAAUCAAGCUGAGCAAGGUAGGGGAAGCAAGCCAGUAAGUAACAUCCCUCCAUGGCCUCUGCAUCAGCUCUUGCUUCCUGACCCGCUUGAGUUCCAGUCCUGACUUCCUUUGGAGAUGAACAGCAAUGUGGAAGUGUGAGCUGAAUAAACCCUUUCCUCCC